AUCUGGGCGUCGGAAUUCAGGACGGCUGGCGGGUUUCGCGCUCGUUCGGUCGUUUGAUAUUUCCGUCGCCGUGUCAGACGUCGCGACCUGUUUGUCGUCGGUCCUUGCUCGGAGGAAUUGCGAUCGAGUUCGUUGCGGGCGCGUUUCGGCGUGUUCCGCGGCGAAGACGCGACUCUCUGGCUGACGACGGACAGUAAGCAACGGUGUCCGGCGUCGUGUCUCGCACUCGYCGUCGGUGCCGGUCAGCGACGAUUUCUUCGGGCCUCUUUCCGACCCGUCUUGAAACACGGACCAAGGAGUCUAACAUGCGCGCGAGUCGCGGGGUUUCGAGCGUGCCACGGUGCGCUCGUUACUUCCGAAACCCGUACGUUGAAGGCGUAAUGAAAGUGAACAGGGAAGAUGGCGUUCCGAGUCCACGUACCGUGAUCGAGUAUCGCGGCCGGACGUCCGCACUCCCGGGGCGUCUCAAUGGCUCGCCACGGAUGCGGACGAUCGUCUUUCGGGGCGGUCGUCGGUCUGUGGCGGUCCGA
rnacentral:rRNA from 1 species